UACGAAGGGGGCGAGCGUUGUUCGGAUUUACUGGGCGUAAAGGGCGCGUAGGCGGCUCGACAAGUCAGGCGUGAAAUCCCCGGGCUCAACCUGGGAACUGCAUUUGUGACUGCAUGGCUAGAGUACGGUAGAGGGGGAUGGAAUUCCGCGUGUAGCAGUGAAAUGCGUAGAUAUGCGGAGGAACACCGAUGGCGAAGGCAAUCCCCUGGACCUGUACUGACGCUCAUGCACGAAGGCCAGGGGAGCAAACGGG
rnacentral:rRNA from 1 species